AGGCUUAAGACAUUUGAGUUCUGGGUCUCACUCUGAGUAGUGUCUGUUCUUAUCCUUGCAGCUAAUUCUGUUUCUAUAACAUCUUCUUUAAAUACUGUAUUUUUCAAUUCUUGCACCAAUAACAUAGCUUGUCUGUUCAAUAUUAUCUCUUCAAUAUUGUUUACUACACAAAUAAAAAAUUAAAACACAUUAUACAUAAGAAAA
rnacentral:lncRNA from 1 species